rnacentral:lncRNA from 9 species
UUUUUUUUUUUUUUUUUUGCUAAUUCCUCAUCUGAAAUACAGAUCAGUUAAAGUGAAAGUUCUACUAGUUGGUUAAAGGUCCCCUUUCAUGCCUGCUUUCAGGAGUUUUACGUAAAUGUUCAGAAUGAUUUUUAUUAUUAAACUCUUAAAGGAUUCUAAUAGAGAGUCUCUUUAAGCAUGGUUUUCCAGAAACUUCCUUUUCUGUAUGGGCAGCCUACUGAAUAUAUUCGAUAUUUAAAAAUUCAUUGAAGUUCAGUGUGAGAUUUACUUACAUCAAGACUGAAAGAUCAAUGAACUUCAAAGGUGAAGGAAGUCUGGGUCCUACAUGGGAAUACACCUUGAACAGGCUCUGCAGGGCUCAUCAAUAGACUAAAUGGAUGAGAGCUACCAUUUUUUGUUGGCCCAUGCUAUGACCAUUGAAUCAUUCUUCCCAGCAUGUUCCAUUUUAUAUAAGAACUUUUUGUUUAUUUAAGAAGAAAUUACUGAAAAUGAAUAAAAUAUCAGAGAAAAGGGAAAUCAUGUAAAUAUCUCUGUAAAUAAUGAGCCAAUCAGAGCGGUAAAAAUGUCAACUCUUAUUUAGCAAACAGAAACAGAUGAACAGACAUAGAAAAUAAAUUUACGUUUACCAAAGGGGAAAGGGAGAAGGAUAAAUUAAGAGCUUGGGAUUAACAUAUACAAGUUACGAUAUAUAAAAUAGAUAACCAAUAAGGACCUAUUGAAUAGCACAGGGAACUAUACUCAAUAUUUUGUAAAAACCUAUAAGGGAAAAGAAUUGAACAGGUUUUAUACACAUAAAAUACACACACACACACACACACACAUAUCUGUGUUUUAUACACACACACACACACACACACACACACACGCAUACAUAUAACUGAGUCACUGUGCUAUAGACCCGAAACUAACAGACAUUGUAAGUCAACUAUACUUCAAUAAAAUUAAAUUUUUAAAGAAUAACUGCUGGAUAGCAUAUUAAAAAAAAACAAAAACAAAAAACAGCAAGGCCUUUGGCCUGAAUUAAAUUGUAUUAAUAUUUAUUGACUACUUUGUGCCACGCACUUUGCAUACUUUACCUCACAUAGCAUUCCUGACACUCCUGUGAGGUAAAUAUUAUUAUUCUAAAUUCGAAACAUAAGAAUCAGGCACACAGAAAAUGUAAGAAAUAAUCUUGGCAGCGGCUAAGUGGUAGAGCCAGCAUUUGAGCCAAGGUCUCCAAUUCCAAAACUCACGUCCUCUUCCUCCCACCACGCUGGCUUCCAUCCAGUGGAACGGACUGAGCAAAUGCCUUGCACAACUACUUGAACAACACUGGGUUUCUCUGAUUCUUUCUCUGACACAAGGUUAUUUCUUAACAAUCAAGUUUUCACAAGACAUCCAUGUUCAGAAAGCCAUGGGCAAAGAGACUCUCAUAUGCAGUACUUAUAAAUAUUCCAGUUCAGGAGGUAGACAUCAGAAGGAAACCUGGAAUCCAAAUAUGCCUUCAUCUCCAACCCUCUGUGCCCUCAGUAUAAAGUCUUCUCAGGUCAGUUUCUUGGACAUGAAAUACUUGUCUGACCUGGGAAACUUGUCAUUAAAGGGAAUGGGUUUAUCAAGGACCCAAGUUCCCCUCAGUCUUGGCCUUAGAGGGCAAGUAUAGGGCAGAGCAACAUUGCAGUGGAUUAUUUCAGGUUAUUCUGUGAAAAGUAUGUGGAAUAUCAAGAAACGUCAAAAAAUCUAGAAACACAGAAAUGUGUUUCCUAAUCCUCUCAGACAAUAAUAGCAUUAACCGAAGAAAAAGCAGCUUGGACAGAAGAAAGAGUCAAUUGUUUAGCUUUGUCAUGUCCCAAUAGUUAAUUACACGAAGGGCGUAUUCACAGUGGAAAGAUACUUUGCCUUUCUUACAAAAAAGAAGACACCAUAUUUUAAGAUAUUUUAUAGAAGUUCUUCCUCCCAGGACUCUCUGUAAACGGCCCUAGCUAAAGAACAAAAUCACAGUUUCAGUUCAUGAAACUGAUUCACCACGUAUUUUAGGAAUUCUAGUUGAAUAUUUGUACACUAAGCUCCAACUUAACUAUACGUCUUUAUUUUUCCUGUUUGUAAAAUGACGGACACCAGAGGCUCACCUUUCAAUCCAUGAAACAAUUGCUUCUUUUCAAUUCAGAAAUUUGAAUAUCUAUUCACUGCAAGAGUUGUACUUGACCCAUAAUUUUUCUCCAGUCAUAAACUUCCAAAGAAUAUCCCCCCAGUCUGUGAUUCUCCAAAUUCUCAGCCACAUCCAAAAGCUGCUACAAUUUAAACUUUUACUUUCUGCUCUUUAUGGACUUACUGUUUCAUCUUAUCUCCUCUACUGUUCCAUCAGUGAAAUCGAAAAUGAGGUCAGAAUCAUAAAUAUGUAAAUGACAACCUAAUGCCCUGUAUCAUGGCAUCAUUUUAUUUGGAGAAACUAAAAUAUUUCAAAGUGAGUUUCUCAGAUCUCAACUGACAGUAACUGGCUUACUAUAAACAAUAGAGAAUUUCUUAACUCUUAAAACCAAUGAUAUAAAAGAAUGGAAAUUAUUGGACGGAAGCUGUACUGAAAAAUUGGCCACCCUUCUGCAUAGAAAACAAUGCAAUUUUGACACCACGUCAUCAAGAAUUGCUUCUCUCUGUGGAGAGCUUGGGGGUUUUGUUACAGUGUCAUUAGAGUGGAAAGUAAUUCUAUUUAGAGUUCUUCUUUGAUUAGUAAAAGUAUUUGAAAAAAUAUUAUAUGUAUACACUUACCUGAACUGUCACAAAAUGAUGAUAUUGUAAUGAAAUUUCAGGAUAACUAAAUGUAUGUAUUUGUCUCACUUUGACUCCUUAAUGCAGGAUCUUUUUUUUUUUUUUUUUUUUUUUUUGUCUUUUUGCCCUUUCUUGGGCUGCUCCCGCGGCAUAUGGAGCGGCCCAAGAAAAUGGCAAAAAGACAAAUAAUAAUAAUAAUAAAAAAAGAAACACUCUCACUACCUGUGUGCCAGCUUGUCAAACACAACAAAGCAAACUAAGAUGGCCGAGUGAAUAUUAGCAGUCUACACAAUUAUAAUAAUUACAAGAAUUACAAACAUCUAGUAUUUUAUCGACUAUUCCCACCUAGAUAGCAUUCUCAGUUGUAUAAGAGUAGUGUUGGAGUUCCCAUCGUGGCGCAGUGGUUAACCAAUCCAACUAGGAACCAUGAGGUUGCGGGUUCGAUCCCUGGCCUUGCUCAGUAGGUUAAGGAUCCAGCGUUGCCAUGAGCUGUGGUGUAGGUCGCAGACGUGGCUUGGAUCC